rnacentral:tRNA from 2 species
GCCACCUUAGCUCAGUUGGCCAGAGCACGUGACUUGUAAUCUCGGGGUCGUCAGUUCGAAUCCGACAGGUGGCU